rnacentral:rRNA from 1 species
GAGCGAACGCUGGCGGCAGGCUUAACACAUGCAAGUCGAACGGGACCUUCGGGGUUAGUGGCGGACGGGUGAGUAACACGUGGGAACGUGCCUUUUGGUUCGGAACAACACAGGGAAACUUGUGCUAAUACCGGAUGUGCCCUUCGGGGGAAAGAUUUAUCGCCAUUAGAGCGGCCCGCGUCUGAUUAGCUAGUUGGUGGGGUAAAGGCCUACCAAGGCGACGAUCAGUAGCUGGUCUGAGAGGAUGACCAGCCACAUUGGGACUGAGACACGGCCCAAACUCCUACGGGAGGCAGCAGUGGGGAAUCUUGCGCAAUGGGCGAAAGCCUGACGCAGCNNNNCCGCGUGAAUGAUGAAGGUCUUAGAUUGUAAAAUCUUCACCGGGACGAUAAUGACGGUA